GCUAAAUAUUGAAGAUCUUAAAAGUUUUGCUAAAGGAUAUAUCACCCCAAAAGAAAUCGAAUGUCAAGCUUGUGGUGUUAUUAUGUAUAGUAGUCCGGAAGUUGGAAUGCAUCUCAUUUCCGAAUCUCACGGAAAAAUUAUUAAACGAUUAGGUUUAUAAAAUCAUUGACGAUUCAAAAAAUUUUAUUUUUAUUAUUUAGUUUUUUAAUUAAGUUUUGUUUUUAAUGUAAUGAAUGUUACUUUAACUCUCUUUUUUAAUACCAUAAACGUUCUUUGUUUCUUUACAUAAAAUAUUUUUUUGUACUUUUAAAUAAAAAUAAAGCGUUAGUAAUAUAAA